GCGGCUUCCUGUCAAUUGGAUGUGAGCGUGGACGUGAGCGUAACAUGGGAGCUUCGAUGAUAGCUGGAAUGUACAGACUAAAAAAGCUCGGAAGCGCUUGCGCUCUUUGGAGAAUUUUGUAUGAGCAUUUUCAGGCUGUUCUGGUGACACUAAAAAAGUACUGGCUCUCCUGUAAUCGAGAGUGGAUGUAAGCACGAAAUGGCUGCCAACAAAGCAGAUUGAUUGUAGAUGAUACUAGCCACAAUCUUAAAAUGGGUGUAGCGUACAUUCCCAACAGCACACCCCACCCCACCGCACCACGCAACUGUACACUGGUCCAUAUGGAAGCAAGUUUCCUGUCAAAGACAGAACCCCAUUGCAAGUCUCGUCUCGGUCCACCAGAUGCGCCGUGGACCUCGCGGACUGCUGGCAUUGAAAAGAGCACAAGCAACUGUGUCUCAGUGCCAAAAAAUGACAAUCAAGUGUACAGUGCCUUGUAUCUGCCUCUGAACGUCGCUAUUAGAAGUGACCAAUAAAACUUCAGCGUACUAGAAGUUACAGCUUGAGUGAUAUUGUGAGCAAAUAUUUAGAACUCAGAAGCAAUAUUUUUUGUAACAUGUUUGGGAAGUAACUAGCAUAUGUAUUGCAGUCUUGACUGUUUGCCCGGAUGAGCUGGUUUGAGUGACAGGAUAAUGACUCUGGCUUUUGGUUCAUUGAAGGUGGCUGACAACAGGAGCUAAAAGCAUUUCAUGCUUAAAAUGUCUGCAGCAGCGGCACUGUUCGGUUAGUCAAGGACCUCAUUUCAUGGCCCUCAUUCUGACACCUUCGAACACUGUUUCUGCCUUUGUAACGCUUCCUAGAAUUUAUCCUUCAAAUUCUUAUGUGAAAGAACCAUGCAUCAAUUUUGGCGUAUUUCUCAAACUGUACGAGCAGAAUUGCUGCUGAUUUCAUAAAUACAACCUAUAAAUCAAUACAGCAGAAUUGUUAGUUGAAAUAUGUAAUCCAAACCAAGGAGCCAUUCUCAAGACGAUGUUCCCGCUGGCAGUGAUGCGUGGCAUUCCUGGCGUUGGUGAAACCUUUAUUCUACAUGAUAAAGCAUGAAACAUUCACAUGUGCUCUUCUUUCCUUCUUUUUUGAGCUUUGCUGUUUCAAGGAGCUUUGCCCUUUGAGUGGCAGCAGCCUGAUUGACAUAGCUUCUGACUCACAUAUUUAACAUUUUUGCACAGAUUGGUCAAGGAGUAGCCAGAUUUUGAGAAGUACAUCUUUAGCAGAGUCUAUAGGUGCUGGCUUUUGAAUGGAGAGACAAGCAGCUUCAUAGCUUCCCUCCUGUCUCUUGUCAUUGUGUCAGCAAACUGAAAUGAAAACUCUCAAAACAGUAUAUUUGCUAAUGAGGAAUCUUUGCAAGGCACAUUGUGAAGCGCAUGCCGAUGAAUUGCUUCAACCUUUUACAUUAAACAAAUUAUGCCAUGUGCUGUCGAGAGGCAAAUAAAGCUGUUCGCUUUAAAAAUUAACAAUAAUAUCCGCAGUUUGUGAAGUGAUUGAGAUAUUGUUACCCAGUACCUUCAACAAAGAUGUUAUGGGAAACAGUGCAAGGAACUAGCAUACUUACACUAAUUGCAGGUAUUUGGCGGAGUUGUAUGGGAGACAAGAUAGCCAACCAAUUUUCCUCUAAUGCAUGUGAGCUUUGUCAUCCUCAUGGUGUAAUGUAAUCAUUUCAGGUAGCGGAUAAAGAAUGUGUGGCAACAUGAAAUGGCCUUUGACGACACAGGCGAGUAGUGGAUGCCACACUUCAGUUCUAAUUAAAGUUACAUCAGCACAGAGCAUGUAUGAUACGACCAAGUUGGGUCCAUACUUUGGAUUACUGUGUACAGUGUCACUCUCUUCUGCAUUGCAGAAGAUGGAAGCCAGUGUUUCUUUGCUGUUGCCAUUUCAAUUUAGUAUAUUUUCAUGUUUUCAUGUUCUGCAAAAUACAGCCAGAGGUUGCACGGUCUUGAAAUGAAGACUACUUUUUGUGUUUUCAAGAUAAAGUUUUAGCUAUAAUAAACGGAAUUUCCAAAAAACAAAUUUUAUGUUUGGCCUGCCUUCUUUUGGGUGAUCAGACAUGGGAGCCAUUGAGGCAUCAUGGCUCAUACGUGCUCCAUUUAUGCUUGAGAGGUGUGUGCACAAUGCUCCUUGCA